CAAAGGGCGUGCGGCGGAUGCCUUGGCACUAACAGCAGAAGAAGGACGUGACUACCUGCGAAAAGCCUUGGGGAGAUGGAAGUAAUCAAUGAUCCAGGGAUAUCCGAAUGGGGAAACCCAAAUGGAGUAACAUCCAUUUAUCCUACACUGAAUACAUAGGUGUAGCGAAGACAACCCAGUGAAUUGAAACAUCUUAGUAGCUGGAGGAAAAGAAAGAGAAAUCGAUUCCCUAAGUAGUGGCGAGCGAAAGGGGAAGAGCCCAAACCAAGUAUGACUUGGGGUUGUAGGACCUUCAAAAACCGACAAUAGAUAGUAGAAUAGCAUUGAAAGGCUAACCAAAGAGGGUGCAAGUCCCGUAUACGAAAUCGACGAUAGGCGGAAGGUAUCCUGAGUACGGCGAGACACGUGAAAUCUUGUCGGAAUCGACGCGGACCACCGCGUAAGGCUAAAUACUAGUUAGUGACCGAUAGUGAACCAGUACAGUGAUGGAAAGGUGAAAAGAACCCCGGGAGGGGAGUGAAAUAGAACCUGAAACCGCAUGCCUACAAGAAGUCAGAGGGCGUUAAAGCCUGAUGGCGUGCCUAUUGAAGAAUGAACCGGCGAGUUAUUUUAUCGUGCGAGGUUAAGUGGGAGACACGGAGCCGAAGCGAAAGCGAGUCUUAAGAGGGCGCAAAGUACGAUGGAAUAGACCCGAAACCAGGCGAGCUAGCCAUGACCAGGUUGAAGUAGGGGUAAAACCCUAUGGAGGACCGAACCGACGUUCGUUGAAAAGACCGCGGAUGAGUUGUGGCUAGGGGUGAAAUUCCAAUCGAGCUUGGUGAUAGCUGGUUCUCCCCGAAAUAGCUUUAGGGCUAGCCUUGAAAGGAAAGCACCAUGGAGGUAGAGCACUGAAUACUAGAUGGUCCUGUUAAGGGAUACUGAUAGUAAUCAAACUCCGAAUGCCAUGGGUAGCAUAUUCAGGAGUCAGACUGUGGGAGAUAAGUUCCAUGGUCAAGAGGGAAACAGCCCAGACCUACAGUUAAGGUCCCUAAAUUCAUGCUAAGUGUUAAAGGAUGUGAAGUUGCACAGACAGCUAGGAUGUUGGCUUAGAAGCAGCCACCAUUCAAAGAGUGCGUAACAGCUCACUAGUCGAGCGACUUUGCGCCGAAGAUUUACCGGGGCUAAGCAUGAUACCGAAGCUUAGGACUCUACGGAGUGGUAGGGGAGCGUUCCAUAUGCAUCGAAGGUACACCGCAAGGAGUGCUGGAGCGUAUGGAAGUGAGAAUGCCGGUGUGAGUAACGAAUGUGGGUGAGAAUCCCACACACCGAUUGCCUAAGGUUUCCUGGGGAAGGUUCGUCCACCCAGGGUAAGUCGGGAACUAAGGCGAGGCCGAAAGGCGUAGUCGAUGGAUAACAGGUUGAUAUUCCGUACCCGCACAUAGGCGAAGUAGUGACAAAGAAGGCUAAUACAUCCAACUGCUGGAAUAGUUGGUACAAGCGGGAUAGCAGGUGCAUAGGCAAAUCCGUGCACGGAAUGCAAGACGUGAAGUGUAGUGAAAGGAUUAAUCCGAGUAAUGAAGUGUAUGACGCCAGCUUUCGAGAAAAGCUGCUAGCUUAACUAUGUGUGGCCCGUACCGAGAACGAACACACGUGGGCAAGGAGAGAAUCCUAAGGUGAGCGAGAGAAGUGUUGUUAAGGAACUCUGCAAAAUCACCCCGUACGUUCGCAAGAAGGGGUACUCCGGAGACGGAGUCGCAGUGAAGAGGCCCAGGUAACUGUUUAUCAAAAACACAGCUUUAUGCUAAGCCGCAAGGCGAAGUAUAUGAGGUGACGCCUGCCCAGUGCUGGAAGGUUAAGAGGAGAGGUUAGUCGCAAGGCGAAGCUUUGAAUUGAAGCCCCAGUGAACGGCGGCCGUAACUAUAACGGUCCUAAGGUAGCGAAAUUCCUUGUCAGGUAAGUUCUGACGCGCACGAAUGGCGUAAUAAUCUGGGCGCUGUCUCAACAGCAAACUCGGUGAAAUCUUAGUACCUGUGAAGAUGCAGGUUACCCGCGACUAGACGGAAAGACCCCAUGGAGCUUUACUACAACUUGAUAUUGGACAACGUUAUCUCAUGUACAGGAUAGGUGGGAGACUAUGAAGCUUGGGCGUCAGCUUGAGUGGAGUCACCCUUGGGAUACCACUCUUGAGGUAAUGUUGUUCUAACCAGCUGCCUUACCGGUAGUGGGACAGUGUCAGGCGGGUAGUUUGACUGGGGCGGUCGCCUCCCAAAGAGUAACGGAGGCGCUCAAAGGUACCCUCAGUAUGGUUGGAAAUCAUACAACGAGUGCAAAGGCAUAAGGCGGUUCCGCGUGGAAGGGCCGUCGCUCAACGGAUAAAAGCUACCCUGGGGAUAACAGGCUGAUUCCUCCCAAGAGUCCACAUCGACGGGGGAGUUUGGCACCUCGAUGUCGGCUCAUCUCAUCCUGGAGCUGGAGUCGGUUCCAAGGGUUAGGCUGUUCGCCUAUUAAAGAGAUACGUGAGCUGGGUUCAAAACGUCGUGAGACAGUUUGGUCCCUAUCUGUCGUGGGCGCAGGAAGUUUGAAGGGAUUCGUCCCUAGUACGAGAGGACCGGGAUGAACAUACCUCUGGUGCACCAGUUGUCACGCCAGUGGCACAGCUGGGUAGCUACGUAUGGAACGGAUAAACGCUGAAAGCAUCUAAGCGUGAAACCGACCCUAAGAUGAGACUUCCCAUUCUUAAUGAAGUAAGAUCCCUUGAAGGUUACAAGGUUGAUAGGUUGCAAGUGUAAGCAUGGCGACAUGUUCAGCUGAGCAAUACUAAUAGAUCGAGGACUUAUCUU
rnacentral:rRNA from 1 species